AGACCCGAAACCCGGUGAUCUAGCCAUGGGCAGGUUGAAGGUUGGGUAACACUAACUGGAGGACCGAACCGACUAAUGUUGAAAAAUUAGCGGAUGACCUGUGGCUGGGGGUGAAAGGCCAAUCAAACCGGGAGAUAGCUGGUUCUCCCCGAAAGCUAUUUAGGUAGCGCCUCGUGAAUUCAUCUCCGGGGGUAGAGCACUGUUUCGGCUAGGGGGCCAUCCCGGCUUACCAACCCGAUGCAAACUGCGAAUACCGGAGAAUGUUAUCACGGGAGACACACGGCGGGUGCUAACGUCCGUCGUGAAGAGGGAAACAACCCAGACCGCCAGCUAAGGUCCCAAAGUCAUGGUUAAGUGGGAAACGAUGUGGGAAGGCCCAGACAGCCAGGAUGUUGGCUUAGAAGCAGCCAUCAUUUAAAGAAAGCGUAAUAGCUCACUGGUCGAGUCGGCCUGCGCGGAAGAUGUAACGGGGCUAAACCAUGCACCGAAGCUGCGGCAGCGACACUCAGGUGUUGUUGGGUAGGGGAGCGUUCUGUAAGCCUGUGAAGGUGGC
rnacentral:rRNA from 1 species